CCCGCUGGAAAUGGAUGCACUUGAUGACAAUUCCCUGCAUUGAUGCCACACCAUGCACCCUCUUUAAAUAUUGGCAUAUUUCUUCUACUCUUCUGGAACUUCACCUGCAUGCCAAGACUUACUGGAAAUCUGCAUUAAUGGUCCAGCGAGCUCUUCAGCCAGCUCUUGUAACACUCUUGGAUGCAAGUUACCUGGACCUGCUGAUUUAAAAAUAUCUAACUUUUUAGUAGCUUCUACUGAAUAUCCUCUAGAGAUAUUAGUGGAAUGGAAAGUGGUGUUGUCACCCUAUGACUGUCAUCUGUUUUCCUCCUAAAUACAGAAAAGAAAUAUUUAUUGAAAAUAGCUGCCUUUUUCUGCAUUAAAAUUGAUUAUUCUACUGUU